CUCAUUUUCUCACCUGAUGGGCUGGCAGAGCCAAAGCUGAUUCCCACUGUGUGGAGGAGAAAACCUGAGAUGGAGCUGGCGAUUGGGAUCGCUCAAGUUCAUGUGGCAGGAUGCAGAGCCCAACAGAUCAGGAGUCGACUACCACUUAAAAGAGAGGUUGUUGCUCAUAGUUCCCAAGAGGAAGGGGCCCUCCACACCAUGCAGGACCACCUGCGGAACCACCAAGAGGCCUCAAGGGACCCUGCUGUCCACUGUCCCUGGCGGCUGGGCACGAGUCCACCCAAACGUUCAAGGUGGUGUGGAACCCAGCCACUCCAAGGCAGCCCUUCCAUGAGAGCGGGCUCAGUUCCCCUGGCUACCGGAAGCCUCCUGACAUCAAGCCUGUUUCCUCAGUGCCACCGCCCUUCCCUUCCCUGCCCU
ensembl:lncRNA